CCGUAUCACGUUGAAACACUGGUUCUCGUUCGAUCACCGAAGUUAAUCAACGUAGAACUUGGGCAGUACCUAGAGGGUGACCGCUUGAGAAUACAAGGUUCCG